rnacentral:tRNA from 1 species
GGGAUUGUGGCUUAGUGGUAGAGUGCUCAUCUAGCACGUGUAAGACCCUGGGUUCGAUCCUCAGCACCA